UGGGGAAUAUUGCACAAUGGGCGCAAGCCUGAUGCAGCCAUGCCGCGUGUAUGAAGAAGGCCUUCGGGUUGUAAAGUACUUUCAGCGGGGAGGAAGGCGAUAAGGUUAAUAACCUUGUCGAUUGACGUUACCCGCAGAAGAAGCACCGGCUAACUCCGUGCCAGCAGCCGCGGUAAUACGGAGGGUGCAAGCGUUAAUCGGAAUUACUGGGCGUAAAGCGCACGCAGGCGGUCUGUCAAGUCGGAUGUGAAAUCCCCGGGCUCAACCUGGGAACUGCAUUCGAAACUGGCAGGCUAGAAUCUUGUAGAGGGGGGUAGAAUUCCAGGUGUAGCGGUGAAAUGCGUAGAGAUCUGGAGGAAUACCGGUGGCGAAGGCGGCCCCCUGGACAAAGACUGACGCUCAGGUGCGAAAGCGUGGGGAGCAAACA
rnacentral:rRNA from 1 species